rnacentral:rRNA from 1 species
UGCCAGACUCCUACGGGAGGCAGCAGUCGGGAAUAUUGCGCAAUGGAGGAAACUCUGACGCAGUGACGCCGCGUAUAGGACGAAGGUCUUCGGAUUGUAAACUAUUGUCGUUAGGGAAGAGAAAGGACAGUACCUAAGGAGGAAGCUCCGGCUAACUACGUGCCAGCAGCCGCGGUAAUACGUAGGGGGCAAGCGUUAUCCGGAUUUACUGGGUGUAAAGGGAGCGUAGACGGCCAGACAAGUCUGAAGUGAAAAUCCAGCGCUUAACGUUGGAAGUGCUUUGGAAACUGCCGGGCUGGAGUGCAGGAGGGGCAGGCGGAAUUCCUAGUGUAGCGGUGAAAUGCGUAGAUAUUAGGAGGAACACCAGUGGCGAAGGCGGCCUGCUGGACUGCAACUGACGUUGAGGCUCGAAGGCGUGGGGAGCAAACAGGAUUAGAUACCCGAGUAA